UAGGGAAUCUUCCACAAUGGACGCAAGUCUGAUGGAGCAACGCCGCGUGAGUGAAGAAGGCUUUCGGGUCGUAAAACUCUGUUAUUGAAGAAGAACGUGUGUGACAGUAACUGGUCAUGCAGUGACGGUAUUCAAUCAGAAAGUCACGGCUAACUACGUGCCAGCAGCCGCGGUAAUACGUAGGUGGCAAGCGUUGUCCGGAUUUAUUGGGCGUAAAGCGAGUGCAGGCGGUCUUUUAAGUCUGGUGUGAAAGCCUUCGGCUUAACCGAAGAAGGGCAUCGGAAACUGGGAGA
rnacentral:rRNA from 1 species